rnacentral:lncRNA from 1 species
GAUAAUUUAAUAAUUCAAACUCAUUCUCAUAUAACCAUAAAUUUACCUGCUAUCGAAGAAACCAUAAACUAAUGAGACAAUUAGGUUGCCCUUUUAUUAAAUGGUACAAUUACAAUUCGGGAUUUUUACAAAAAUAUUACAAAAAAAUAAAAAAUAACCAAAAUAUUAUAUUUUUUUAAUUACGAAAAUAAUACAAAAGAAAAAACAAAAAUCAGAAAAAAAAAACAAAAAAAAAGGCUGCAGGUGAUGUGACAAUACCUUGGUGGAGGGUAUCCCAUAGGCGGCACCGAUGGGCCGGUGGGUGGGGGGAAAGGAAGGAGAGGGAAAGAAGAAGAAAGAAAGAAAGAAAGAAAAAGAAAGAAAAGGAAAGGAGAGGAAAGAAAGAAAAAGAAGGAAAGAAAAGGAAAGGAGAAAAAGAAAGAAAGAAAGAAAAAGAAGGAAAGAAAAGGAAAGGAGAAGAGAAAAAAAAAAAGAAGAAGAAGAGGGGAGGAAGGAAAAAGAAAGAAAGAAAGGUAAUUUUUUAUUUUUAAUUUUAAUUUUUUGUAAUAUUUGUGUGUAAAAAAAUUAUGUUAUGUACAUUAUACGUGUUUUAUUAUGUUAUUUAGCAUAUAAAUUUUAUGAAAUUUAUUUAGCAUGAAAAAAUUCAUGUUAUAUAAAUUGUAUGUUGAUUAGGAAUUUUUUUUAUGAAAUUUA